rnacentral:rRNA from 1 species
AGAGUUUGAUCAUGGCUCAGGAUGAACGCAAGCGACAGGCCUAACACAUGCAAGUCGAGGGGCAGCAUUUCCAGCUUGCUGGAAGAUGGCGACCGGCGCACGGGUGAGUAACGCGUAUGCAACCUACCUUAUACUGGGGGAUAGCCCAGAGAAAUCUGGACUAAUACCGCAUAACAAUGUUUUAUCGCAUGGUAAGAUAUUUAAAACUCCGGUGGUAUAAGAUGGGCAUGCGUAGCAUUAGUUAGUUGGUGAGGUAACGGCUCACCAAGACAGUGAUGCUUAGGGGGUCUGAGAGGAUAGUCCCCCACACUGGUACUGAGACACGGACCAGACUCCUACGGGAGGCAGCAGUGAGGAAUAUUGGUCAAUGGACGCAAGUCUGUAUUAGCCAUGUCGCGUGCAGGAUAACGGCCCUAUGGGUUGUAAACUGCUUGGUUACAGGAAUAAUUGCUUUCACGUGUGAGAGUUUGAAUGUACUGUAUGAAUAAGGAUCGGCUAACUCCGUGCCAGCAGCCGCGGUAAUACGGAGGAUUCGAGCGUUAUCCGGAUUUAUUGGGUUUAAAGGGUCCGUAGGCGGUCUUUUAAGUCAGUGGUGAAAUCCCAGAGCUUAACUCUGGAACUGCCAUUGAAACUGAAGGACUUGAAUAUGGUUGAGGUAGGCGGAAUACGUUAUGUAGCGGUGAAAUGCAUAGAUAUAACGUAGAACACCAAUUGCGAAGGCAGCUUACUAAGCCAUUAUUGACGCUGAUGGACGAAAGCGUGGGGAGCGAACAGGAUUAGAUACCCUGGUAGUCCACGCCGUAAACGAUGAUUACUCGUUGUGCACAAUACAUCGUGCGUGACUGAGCGAAAGCAUUAAGUAAUCCACCUGGGGAGUACGUUCGCAAGAAUGAAACUCAAAGGAAUUGACGGGGGCCCGCACAAGCGGAGGAACAUGUGGUUUAAUUCGAUGAUACGCGAGGAACCUUACCUGGACUUAAAUGUAGAUUGACCGGCUUAGAAAUAGGUCUUUCCUUCGGGACAAUUUACAAGGUGCUGCAUGGUUGUCGUCAGCUCGUGCCGUGAGGUGUCGGGUUAAGUCCCAUAACGAGCGCAACCCCUAUCGUUAGUUGCUAGCAGGUAAUGCUGAGGACUCUAGCGAGACUGCCACCGUAAGGUGAGAGGAAGGUGGGGAUGACGUCAAAUCAGCACGGCCCUUACGUCCAGGGCUACACACGUGUUACAAUGGCCAGUACAAAGGGCAGCUACCUGGUGACAGGAUGCUAAUCUCAAAAGCUGGUCUCAGUUCGGAUCGGAGUCUGCAACUCGACUCCGUGAAGUUGGAUUCGCUAGUAA